AAGCGUGAUGCAGAGCAUACAACAAUCAUGUCGGGGGGCUGCCUCGUGGUGGCUCCCUCUGAAGCGUCGCUGCGCGCGACCACUUGACUGAACUCCUGUUAAGCGUCAUCCGCUGACUU
rnacentral:snoRNA from 1 species